UAAACACUUCCAGUUUGAAUGGGCUCCCCGCGGCUGGCGACCGGUUCGGCUGCACCGCCGCCGCUCCCUCUGGCCGGCGAAGCCACCCCCUUCCCUUCCCGAAUCAUAUCCACCCAUUCUAGCCGCCACAGCCUGAUCUACCCUUUCCCCCGGUCCGGUUCGUCCGCGCGGCUCUCUUGGAGCUCGGAUGAAGAGGAGGACGAGGCGGUGCUGGGGACCCCGCCGUCUCUCCACAUCCGGGGGCCUGCCGCCCCGAUUCGCGUUCAAGACCUGGACCGGCGUGCCCAGGACGGUCGUAUUGAUGCCGCCAUCAUCUCCCAGCGCUGCGCGCUGCCUCUGGGAUGCUGACGGCGCAACCCCAGAUCUCCAUCAGCAGCUCGCGGCCGCUCCGGGGAUCCUCCUCCACCUUGAUACGGUGGAGGAUCUGCGUGGCCUCGGCGACGGGGCUGGGGAGGGCAGGCGUGAGGGCGAGCUGUGGACCACCACCGUCGAUUGGUUCCGGAUGGCACUCCCGCUGAUUCCUCUCUGCCAGAUCCACAUCAGGGGGAUGCCAGGGAGGUGCUCCGCGCGCGUCGUGGUGGAAGCCGUCACGAUGCUGGCCGCUCCGCUGCACGCCACAGGGGCCGCAACCGCAGCCAAGGAGGCAAGAGCUCGUGCCCGGAGGAGCCUUCCCGGCGCGAAAACGGCGACGACGAGGCUGCUGGCCGCCGCCAGGACGACCGUGGUCUGGUUCCGAAGCGGGUCGACCGCCAUCGCGGGACGACAGACACACCAUAUCGCCGCCGCGAGCAUGGUCAGAACCGUGGCAUGCGCUCCAACCGCCGUUCGCGCACCCGAUCCUCUCCUCACUGCGACUGCGAGUACCGGCCUGUCAAGUCCACCGCGCCCGCCGUCUCUGCUCGCGGGAUUACGAGCCCGCCGGCGCUAUGCUCGCCGUCGUUGCCUCUUGUGUUGUCGUUGUGGCGGAACCGCCUGCUCGUCUCGCGGCCAUGGAGUCUGCGGCUCUGGGAAACUACUUCCCUUCCCUCUGCUGACUGUAACCUGUCUGUCUGUGGCUGUUUGUAGCCUGAAUGAAGAAUGAUAC
rnacentral:rRNA from 1 species